rnacentral:lncRNA from 1 species
GAGAAGUCAGGCCAGAUUAAGCCAUAAGUCGGAAACAGCU